rnacentral:rRNA from 1 species
AUGGAGCUGUCCACGCUGCCAUACUACUCGUACCACUUGGCCCUAUGCAUCUUGUUAGCUCUCCUCUACCAUGCCGUCCUACGCGCCGCCGCCACCGCUGCCACCAGGCGUCCCCGCCCGAAGCUGCCUCCCGGUCCAUGGCAGCUUCCGAUCAUCGGCAGCCUGCACCACCUGUUGCGCGGGCUCCCGCACCACAUCAUGCGCGACCUCUCCCUCCGCCAUGGCCCGCUCAUGCUGCUCCGCGUGUGCGAGCGCGAGGCCAUAGUCGUCUCCUCCGCCGAGGCCGCGAGGGAGAUGUACAAGGGUAACGAGGCCGCCUUCUCGACGCGGCUAAGCAGCCCGGGCAUCGACGAGCUCUCCAGGCACGGCCAGGGGAUCGUCUUCGCGCCCUACGGCGACCACUGGCGGCUUCUCCGCCGGAUCCUGGUGACGGAGCUGCUCAGCGCGCGGCGCGUCGAGGCGUUCCGACGGAUCCGCGAGGAGGAGGCGGGGCGCCUGCUUUCGUCGCUUCAGGCUGAGGCGACGUGCGACGGUCGACUCGUCGACAUCGGCAAGCGGCUGGAAGAGUUCGUGACAGACUCGGUGGUGCGUGCCAGCUUU